rnacentral:lncRNA from 1 species
CUUGUGUAUAAUUCGGAGUUUAGUAUGACGUCCAUUAUCACUGUACUAUUAUGCAUAUUUUAGGGGCCAGCUGAAGGACACCUACGGGUGCGGGAAUUCUCGCUACAUUGAAGACCCAUUGGUUGCCUUCGGCUGUUGUUUGCUCUAUGGUCGGGUGGUUGUCGCUUUGACAUAUUCACCAUUUCCUUUCUCAAUUUUAUUUUUAAACUACAUUGG